UACGGAAGGGGCGAGCGUUGUUCGGAUUCAUUGGGCGUAAAGGGUGCGUAGGCGGCGCGGUAAGUCGGGUGUGAAAUCUCGGAGCUUAACUCCGAAACUGCAUUCGAUACUGCCGUGCUUGAGGACUGGAGAGGAGACUGGAAUUCCUGGUGUAGCGGUGAAAUGCGCAGAUAUCAGGAGGAACACCGAUGGCGAAGGCAGGUCUCUGGGCAUUAACUGACGCUGAGGAGCGAAAGCAUGGGGGAGCGAACAGG
rnacentral:rRNA from 1 species